UAAUUACUAGUAUUAAAAAAGUGAAAAUAGUGAGAAUUUUUGUAAACAUAUCUGUUUCUUAGCAUCCUCGUAAAGAUUCAUAAGAAAAUUCGUUGUAGUUUUGCUAAAACACACAUAUGUCGAUGUACACUAAAGUCAACCCGUAAUUUUUCUUAAAUUUCCAUCUUUUUUUCUUUUCAUUCAUAUGCAGUUACAUUAAGAAGCUAAUAGAGGACAGAGCUGUUGGUGAGGAAGGUGUCUAGCUACUGCAGUACUGCAGCUGGGAAAAUCCACAAUUCGCACGUGCCCACUAGCCGAACCAUGAGAAAAUACGAUUAUGAUAUAACGACGACGAAAAGUGGUAUCAGUAAUAGAUUAUGAAUGCUCCGUUUUUUACAUUAAGAAGCUAAUAGAGGACAGAGCUGUUGGUGAGGAAGGUGUCUAGCUACUGCAGUACUGCAGCUGGGAAAAUCCACAUUUCGCACGUGCCCCACUAGAAGAACCAUGAGAAAAUUAGAUUAUGAUAUAACGACGACGAAAAGUGGUAUCAGUAAUAGAUUAUCAAUGCUCCGUUUUGUAUGUAAAAUUUGAGUAUUUAA